GCCCCCUACUUUUCUAUAUUUAUACUGAAGCCUUAAGCAUUCUAACCUGUUGUGGAGCACUCAACACGCAUACUUGAAAGACUACACUUUCUCCACACUCGCACCUAGUGCUUCAAAAAUGGAAAAAGGCUCCAGAACAAGAACAUCCUGUGAAGGCAUUUGGCUGGGCUGCCAGAGACGCAUCUGGCCACCUCUCUCCCUUUAGUUUCUCAAGAAGGUGAUGAGGACGUGAGGUUUAAGGUGUUGUAUUGUGGGAUAUGCCACAAUGAUCUUCAUAACAUCAAGAACGAAUGGGGGAUCUCUAUGCACCCUAUGGUUCCUGGGUACGUACGUGUGUGUGUGUGUGUAACCUUCAAUCUAAUCCAUCUUGUUAAUAUAUAUUCUUUUAUUUC